GCCGCUGCCGCCGCCGGCCGGGGCGGAACGGACCGCCGAGGAGCGGGCCCGGCCUGCGCCGCGGGAAAGGCACGCGGCCAUGGACGGGACCCCCGCCCAGCACAGGGACACCUUCCGCUAUACCAGCGUGCUCAAAGCGUCAUCCAGCCUGGCCUUGGAACACUGCCAGUGAUGGGGCAUUCACGGCUGCCCUGGCAACCUGUUCCAGUGCCUCAGCACCCUCACAGGGAAGAAGUUCUUCCCAAUAUCAAUUUAAAAUCUGUCCUCUUUCAGUUUUAAAGCCAUUCCCCCUCGGCCUGUCACUGCAUGUCUUUGCAAAAAGUCCCUCUCCAGCUUUCUCACAGGCUCCCUUAGUGGAAGUCUGCUCUGAGGCCUCCUCCAGGAUGACCCCAGCUCUCUGAGGAGAUGAGUCUGAGGGGGUUGUUUGUGGAGUUGCUCCGUGCUUCAGCUGCACCCCCUGGUCAGCCCAGCUCUGUUCUGUCCCUGUGAUGGACUGGAGAACUCGGUGGACUCCUCUGGAGAGCUGCAGCCAGACCCAGCCAGAGCAUUUUCCAGAGCAUUCCCCCCCCCCAUCCCAUGGCCAUCCAAUGCCUGUGACGUGCUGGGACUCCUGGCAGACAAGAAGACUGUGAACAUCAUGCUUAACCCACUCCCAGAAGGCUUGAAUGUUAUUACCAAGAUGGAAGCACAUUUAAGAAAAGAAGUGGCAGAACUGGAGAAACUGGCACUGGACAUGUACUCUGUAGCAAUUGAAAUAAAGAAAAUAAUCUCAAAUGCAGAAAGCUUCAAGACAGUCGCUGAAUUUCAGAGUCAGAUUGUGGCUGUGAAGGGAAAACCUUUGUUGGAACAUGUGGAAUGAGAAGAAUCUGCAUAACAUGACAUAAGACAGACUGGAAAUGGAUGGGAUUGUUUGAACUAGACCACGCUAGGCAGCUUCCUGGCUGUAGCAAAGGGCUGGCAGCACCCUGAAGAAUGUAAGUGCUGAAAUCUGCUUCUACCAACCUGUUUUUGGGAGCUGCUGUACAUGAUCUGCCACCAUGCUGUAAGUGUUGAGCCCAGCCUGUGUCCAAGUGUGCAGUUUAGGUGAAGCUUUUUCUUUUGCAACUGUUGUGAAAGAGCCACAUACAUACUGGGAGCUGGUUGCUCCUCAGAACUGAGCUCUUUACCUGCCAGCUGUCCUCAGACAGCACACACAACACUGAAUACUGGCAUACACAACAAAUAAAUAAAGAACAACUUCCAACUCCAGAUUCUCAGCAAAAUUACCAGGUCCCUUGGCAUCUUUACCCAGGUCAGGUCAUUCCAAGAUUUAAUUCCAAAACUGUGGGUGUUAAUUUUCCCCUCUUUCCUUUUUUUCUCAAGUCCAAAAGAGAUGGUUACAUUUUUAUUCUUUGUAAGGGGAUUAUAUAAAAUCUCACAGGACUUGACCUUGCAGAAGUGUCAUGAGAGACUUUCCUCAAACUUCUUCCAAUCCUGGAAAGGACAAACUGAGUGGGCAAAGAGGCCACCUGUUCCAAGGAUCAAGUGCAGCUAGAUGCAGCACAAACCUGGCUCCAGCAAGGAAUGGUAUACCACCAUCUGUCUCACUAACCCUGUUUUAACAGACUACUAAUUUAAUUUGAUGGUAAUGUGGUUGUGGCAAGUUGCUGCUUUUUCCCCUAAAUAAAGUUGCAUUUUCCUUCCCUUCUUCAGUAAUGUACCCAAGCGCCACACAAUUAAAAAUCUGAACUAUUGCUGUAAUUAUACCAAAAAAAAAAAAGAAGAUGAUAAUGUAGAGGUUUAAAUUUUAUUUCUAAAUUAUUUUUGAGUAAAAGGCAUAAAACUAAUUUUAAAAUAUUAUAAAUUACUUGACUAAAUGGAACAGGCAGGGGAUAACCAGGAAUUAAGAGGGCACAGUAGGAAUCCUACAUGAGAAGAUAAGUUAGUUUUCUGAAGUAUCAUACUGUUACCACUGUGAAAUUAACACCAGAAAAAUUUUCAUGGACUCCUGCUGAGAUGGAACCCAGCAAGCAGAUAGUUUUAAUCUUAAAGAGAAUUUAUACUUACAUAGAGAGGCUCAAAAUACAGCUUUUUAGAGCUGCUAAUAAAACAUUCGCCUUCUCUGA